rnacentral:lncRNA from 1 species
UGGAGGGAUUGCAAUCUGAUACUAAGUUAACUUGGAGGAUUUAGAGCUGUCUCCCUGUUUAAGCUGCAGACCAAAUCACAGAUGCCCCAAAGCCUAUGACUGACUUGGGGGCUCUUUAACAUUAACACGAUGGAGAAUUCAGUGGCAAGCAGUUGUCACACUGGGAACCUGGCUUGGCAAUCAAGUUUUCCCUUGGAAACUUUUUCUUCCAAGGAAAGGGGAAUAUUUCCCCAACUAGAAACCUUGAGUUCACUGUAAGCUUAAGCUGAAAUAAUCACUAUGUAAGUGACAUAAAACCAGGAGGGCUGCAUUAUCUCGUCUAAUUCUACUUCAUUUGAUGGCAAGGGGAAAAAGCAUUUGCAUGAUUUUGUGCUGCGAAUUUCAGUUGAUAUUCAAUAAAUGCUUACUGGUAGUGGGUGGUAGAGUGGAAUUGUGUGUUCCAAUGUCACUUGUAUCAUGAUUGGUGCCACAGAGCACACUAAUACCUCAUGUCCUUUCCCAUCUGUGGAAGCUAAAAAGUGGAUUUCAUAGAUUCAGAGAGUUAUCAGAAGCUGUGAAGGGUAGGGUGGAGGGAGAAUAAAGAGAGGUUGGUUAAUGGGUAUAAAAUUACAGUUAGAGAAGGAAUAAGCCCUUGUUCUGUAGCACAGUAAAGUGACUAUAGUCAACAAUAACUUAUUGUAUAUCUCAAAAUACCUUGAAGACUUUGCAUGUUCCCAAGACAAAGAAAUAAUAAAU